CCGCGGGCUAAGCCCUGGGGUGCUACCCCUACCCUCGUGGGAGCAUUGCUCCCACGCCGCAAACGGGGUUAUGGCGGGGGGCGUUAACCUCAGAGGCGCCUCCCCUCUUCAUAGGCACGGCCUGAUCUGGCCAGCUUUGAGCCUCAGUCCCGUGGGACGUCCCGUGGUGCUAGGCCUCUCGGAGGAGAGGCUAAAGCACCGAUCAGGCCGAAGCGGGUUAGGCCCGGAAGGGAGCAGCCCUAAGGUCUGCGGGGCGUGUUCACGGGGGUGCUGAGGUGAGCUGGAGGAUCAGGACCGACCUAUGAAUGGGAGGCCACUCUGGGGGAUGCCGCGG
rnacentral:SRP_RNA from 1 species